rnacentral:rRNA from 1 species
GUUUGAUCCUGGCUCAGAACGAACGCUGGCGGCGUGGAUAAGACAUGCAAGUCGAGCGAGGACCAGAGGGUAGUAAUAUUCGCUGGUUUUAGUGGCGAAAGGGUGCGGAACACGUGGGUAAUUUGCCGUGAAGUCGGGAACAACUUGCCGAAAGGUGAGCUAAUGCCGAAUGUGAACCAUACCGGGUAACCGGAGUGGUUUAAAGCUGGGGACCGAAAGGCCUGGCGCUUCGCGAUAAGCCCGCGGCCUAUCAGCUAGUUGGUGAGGUAAAAGCUCACCAAGGCGUAGACGGGAAGCCGGUCUGAGAGGACGAUCGGCCACACUGGAACUGAGACACGGUCCAGACACCUACGGGUGGCAGCAGUCGAGAAUCUUUCACAAUGGGGGAAACCCUGAUGGAGCGACGCCGCGUGGGGGAUGAAGGGUUUAGGCUCGUAAACCCCUGUCAUCGGUGAGCAAUGCUUCAGGUUUAAAUACCCACGUAGCUGAUAGUAGCCGAAGAGGAAGGGACGGCUAACUCUGUGCCAGCAGCCGCGGUAAUACAGAGGUCCCAAGCGUUGUUCGGAUUUACUGGGCGUAAAGAGUGCGUAGGUGGUGAGGAAAGUCUGAUGUGAAAUCUCCGGGCUCAACCCGGAAACGUCAUCGGAAACUACGUCGCUUGAGGAUUGGAGAGGAGACUGGAAUUCUCAGUGUAGCAGUGAAAUGCGUAGAUAUUGAGAGGAACACCAAUGGCGAAGGCAGGUCUCUGGACGAAUCCUGACGCUGAGGCACGAAAGCUAGGGGAGCAAACAGGAUUAGAUACCCUGGUAGUCCUAGCCGUAAACGGUGCGCAUUUGCUGUGGGUGGAUUCGACCCCAUCCGUGGCGAAGCUAACGCGUUAAAUGCGCCGCCUGGGGAGUACGGUCGCAAGGCUAAAACUCAAAGAAAUUGACGGGGGCCUGCACAAGCGGUGGAGUAUGUGGCUUAAUUCGAUGCAACGCGAAGAACCUUACCUGGGUUUGACAUGUAGGUGGUAAAGAUCUGAAAGGGGAUAGACCUAGCAAUAGGAGCCUACACAGGUGCUGCAUGGCUGUCGUCAGCUCGUGUCGUGAGAUGUUGGGUUAAGUCCCGCAACGAGCGCAACCCUCAUGUUCUGUUGCCACCCAAACGAGAGUUUGGAGCACUCCGAACAGACUGCCCCAUUUUAAUGGGGAGGAAGGUGGGGAUGACGUCAAGUCAGUAUGGCCCUUAUGUCCAGGGCUGCACACGUACUACAAUGCCCGGCACAAUGGGAAGCAAGACCGCAAGGUGGAGCCAAUCCCCAAAACCGGGCUCAGUUCAGAUUGUCGGCUGCAACUCGCCGGCAUGAAGGAGGAAUCGCUAGUAAUGGCGCAUCAGCUACGGCGCCGUGAAUACGUUCCCAGGCCUUGUACACACCGCCCGUCACAUCAUGAAAGCCGACGGUACCCGAAGUCUGCGCGCUAACCCGCAAGGGAAGCGUGCCGAAGGUAUGGCUGGUAAUUGGGAUGAAGUCGUAACAAGGUA